UUUCCAGAGAUGGAUUGGUGCCUUCGGGAACUCUGACACAGGUGCUGCAUGGCUGUCGUCAGCUCGUGUCGUGAGAUGUUGGGUUAAGUCCCGCAACGAGCGCAACCCUUAAGCUUAGUUGCCAUCAUUAAGUUGGGCACUCUAAGUUGACUGCCGGUGACAAACCGGAGGAAGGUGGGGAUGACGUCAAAUCAUCAUGCCCCUUAUGUCUUGGGCUUCACGCAUGCUACAAUGGCCGGUACAAAGGGUUGCGAUACUGUGAGGUGGAGCUAAUCCCAAAAAGCCGGUCUCAGUUCGGAUUGGGGUCUGCAACUCGACCCCAUGAAGUCGGAAUCGCUAGUAAUCGCGGAACAGCAUGCCGCGGUGAAUACGUUCCCGGGCCUUGUACACACCGCCCGUCACACCAUGGGAGUUGGAUCUACCCGAAGAUUGUGAGCUAACUUCGGAGGCAGCAAGCCACGGUAGGUUCAGCGACUGGGGUGAAGUCGUAACAAGGUAGCCGUAGGGGAACCUGCGGCUGGAUCACCUCCUU
rnacentral:rRNA from 13 species